GGGGAAUAUUGCACAAUGGGCGAAAGCCUGAUGCAGCAACGCCGCGUGAGUGAUGAAGGUCUUCGGAUUGUAAAGCUCUGUCUUUUGGGACGAUAAUGACGGUACCAAAGGAGGAAGCCACGGCUAACUACGUGCCAGCAGCCGCGGUAAUACGUAGGUGGCGAGCGUUGUCCGGAUUUACUGGGCGUAAAGGGUGCGUAGGCGGAUGUUUAAGUGAGAUGUGA
rnacentral:rRNA from 1 species